rnacentral:rRNA from 1 species
UACGGAGGUUGCGAGCGUUGUCCGGAAUCACUGGGCGUAAAGGGCGCGUAGGUGGCGCGGGAAGUCAACGGUGAAAGUUCGGGGCUCAACCCUGAAUCGGCCGUCGAUACUCCCGGGCUCGAGCACUGUAGAGGCAGAUGGAAUUCCGGGUGUAGCGGUGGAAUGCGUAGAGAUCCGGAAGAACACCGGUGGCGAAGGCGGUCUGCUGGGCAGUUGCUGACACUGAUGCGCGACAGCGUGGGGAGCAAACAGG